rnacentral:rRNA from 1 species
AGCAGCCGCGGUAAUUCCAGCUCCAAUAGCGUAUAUUAAAGUUGUUGCAGUUAAAAAGCUCGUAGUUGAAUUUCGGGGUUAGUAGAUUGGUCAUGCCUCUGGUAUGCACUGGUCUUACUGAUUCCUCCUUCCUGAUGAACCGUAAUGCCAUUAAUUUGGUGUUGCGGGGAAACUGGACUGUUACUUUGAAAAAUUAGAGUGUUUAAAGCAGGCUAACGCUUGAAUACAUUAGCAUGGAAUAAUGAAAUAGGACGUUCGAUCUUAUUUUGUUGGUUUCUAGGAUUGACGUAAUGAUUAAUAGGGAUAGUUGGGGGCAUUAGUAUUCAAUUGUCAGAGGUGAAAUUCUUGGAUUUAUUGAAGACUAACUACUGCGAAAGCAUUUGCCAAGGAUGUUUUCAUUAAUCAAGAACGAAAGUUAGGGGAUCGAAGACGACCAGAUACCGUCGUAGUCUUAACCAUAAACUAUGCCGACUAGGGAUCGGAUGAUGUUAAUUUUUAAUGACUCAUUCGGCGCCUUACG